rnacentral:lncRNA from 1 species
UCCCGCCCCCGCCGGCUCCCCCCGCCCGCCCCGCUCGCCCCCGCCCCCCGGCCCGCACAGACCCCCGCCUUUGUUAUGGUGCGAAGUUGGGCUGUGGGUCCGUCUCUUUCACUUCUUGGGUUACAGUGCAAGCGUGUGACGUCCGCUCCACAUGACGGGGGCGGGGGGCGGGCGCCGGGGGGCGGGGGCGGCGGGCCAGGCCCUCCCCGUGCUUCUCCGCCCCUUCCCGCCCCGCCCACGGCCCUCCUCCUGGCAGCCCAGCAACAAGCGGCCACCGCCCCCACGCCGGGGCGGGCAGGUUCCGACCUGAAUCUGAAAGUGCUUCUAAAUCCCAUGCUUCACAGAACGUUCGGAGGGGGAGGCGCUCCGUGGGGGCUGCUGCGUGCCCAUGUAGCCGAACUGACUCGAAUACAAGCGUGUCCACGUCUACAUUACACAUCUGUGUAAAUGCAGAAGCCUGCGGAUGCGCGGGGCUGGCCAGACUUCAGUGUGCAGACACAUGGGCUCAUGCACGCGCGCGCGCGCUCGCUCACACACACUCACACCCCAAAUUACCUCCGGGAUGGAGAAAGCCGCUGCGGAUUGGCCAGCAGAGCCGUCACUCACGCCCAGGGGGCAGGGAGACUUCGCAAAGCUGUUUCCUUUUUUUUUUUCCUCCUCUCCUCCCUACCGUUUCAUUUAAUGGUAAAACAACAGCAGAGCUCUGAAAGUUAGCCAUCUGCGCAGAGUUUGCCUUCUUUAAGUAGGGAGGCGUCAGACGAUAUCCAUUUAAAUAUAUUUUGUACUUCCACAAAGGAUGGAAAGAGAAAUUAACCAAGGGAGUGGAGGCGGAAAGGGAGCUCCGAGUAAGAAGGAGGGGUCAUUCCGCGGUUGGGGGGGGGGGGCGGGGGCCGACGCAGGGGAAAGAGUUGCUCUCUACAUCGAAAAGAGACUUUGACCUUCCAUUGAUCUCGAAAUUAAAAAACGUUUCUUCAC